rnacentral:rRNA from 1 species
AAUUGACGGGACCGCACAAGCGGUGGAUGAUGUGGUUUAAUUCGAUGCAACGCGAAAAACCUUACCCACCUUUGACAUGUACGGAACCCUUUAGAGAUAGAGGGUGCUCGAAAGAGAGCCGUAACACAGGUGCUGCAUGGCUGUCGUCAGCUCGUGUCGUGAGAUGUUGGGUUAAGUCCCGCAACGAGCGCAACCCUUGUCAUUAGUUGCUACAUUCAGUUGGGCACUCUAAUGAGACUGCCGGUGACAAGCCGGAGGAAGGUGGGGAUGACGUCAAGUCCUCAUGGCCCUUAUAGGUGGGGCUACACACGUCAUACAAUGGCUGGUACAAAGGGUUGCCAACCCGCGAGGGGGAGCCAAUCCCAUAAAGCCAGUCGUAGUCCGGAUCGUAGUCUGCAACUCGACUACGUGAAGUCGGAAUCGCUAGUAAUCGUGGAUCAGAAUGUCACGGUGAAUACGUUCCCGGGUCUU